GGCAUUUACACAUAAUCGUUGUCCCAAAACUUUGUAGCGUCGAUGGCAUCCCCCUAACGACCUUAAAAUCUCCGUGACAAUAUCCAUGAGAAAUCACGCGACUACGUGGAAAGCAAAACGACGACGCUUACCCCGUUUUCCUUUCAAAAUAAACGUCAUAGGUGUGGGAAAAAACAUAAGCUAUCUCAUGGGUAGUAGAUUCGCUUCGUUGGUCCGGGAGAUCCAUUCGGGUCUUAGAAGGAAAAAGGUUUUCAGAACCUGAAAUGGUACUGUGAAAAUGGCGCACGCAGCCAAGUUUCUCAGUCCAAUUAGACAAUCUCUCACUCUUAUGACCUCGUCUUGUCCACCAAUCUCUCAGUGGAGAAAAUUCUACUAUGCCAGGUUUGAACCUUUAAAGACAUUGAUAAAGGGCCUUGAACCUGUUCUCCGCAACCGUGCCUCAGCAUUUCAGCAUAAAUUAAUUACACAGAGAAGAUAUUUUUGGUUUUCAGGAUGUAAACCAAGUCUUGGAGGCCUAUUUGGUGCGUCAGUUGUGCUAGGGUCAAAAAUCUGUUGGCCUCAUGUUGCUUAUGCUAUGGAUGGUCUCGAUAUCUUGAUGGAUGAUCACCGCUUGCUGGAUACUUCAGAUGAGGAAGAAGAUCCGCUGGCCUUCUGGACGUUUGCCCGGAAAUUCUGGCUACCUGUUUUUUUCUUUCUUUUUGUGUUGACAAACUUGGAUCAUCCUAUUGCAUUAAUUGCAAUUAAAAUCAUUUUAUUACUCCUCAGCACAAAUCCCAGUCCUCUUUCAGUCUACGUUUCUGUUGAUCAGUUAUGUCAUCAAUCUAUGCGCCAAGCACCUCACUUUUACAAAGCAAAGUCAUUGUACGCAAAAAAAGUUGAAGUCCAAGACUAUAAGUUCCUCUGCAUUGCUAGAGUUGAACUGAAAGAAGAAAAAUUCACUUUGGUUGGAAUUCUAGGUGGUUGGUGGACUUUGCCGAGACCAUUUUCUCAGGAUGCUUUUUCUGUGGUUAGGAAUGGAGCUUUUAACUAUUAUUGGAAAAACAACUGCAGAGGCUAAUCAACUGUAGUUAACUUUAGCUGCUUCUCGGCUGAAGUGCUAAUGCUUAGUUUCGGCAUAGUCCCAUCCUACGAAGGCCAGCAGGCGAGCUCUCUUCAGGCUACUUGGCAAAGAAAUGUACCAUAAAUGAAAUAAAGUCGCUCUAUAGAUUACUAAAACUCAUUUAUGCAGCAUGGGUCAUUGGCAGUUAAUCCAGUCACAUGAACUUUCUACUCUGUAUGAUUCCUAGAUUUUGUUUUUGAGCAUCUAAGAUUUUUCUUUAUUCCUGAUAGAACCAAUUUGAGUGCCUUCUUUACCUUCUAGUAAAAAUAGUCAUUAGCUUGAAA